rnacentral:misc_RNA from 1 species
CACACCUUAUUAUUUACAACGUCUUUGGCUACACACAUAUAAGUUUAAUGUUUGUUUAUUAUUGGGAGUGAAAGCUGUUUCUGCUAGAAAUUUAAGUGACGAUUUUUGUACGGAGAUGUAUCUUCUGGGAAAGUGUUGUGAAUUUAUAUGAUUAAAGUAACUAGUUUUGUUGAGAAAUUUUGGAAGAAGAUGAGUUAUUACGCUGUUGCGAAGGGCAGAUAUCCUGGAGUUUAUUCUUCGUGGUCAGACUGCAAGAAGCAGGUAGAUCAGUUUCCUGGAGCAAAAUACAGGAAAUUUUCCACUGAAGUUGAAGCAAGAAAUUUUGUAAGCCAGUUUUGCACAAAUUCAUCUCACCCAACAACAAUCAAAAGAGAGAUUCCAAGUAGAGGUCCUUAUACGACUGAUGAGAUAGCUAGUAUAUAUGUAGAGGCUAUUUCAAAUGCUGUGAAACAUCGUGCAGACAGUGGCGCAGCUGCUGACCAACACAAUAAUGAAGAGAAGGCAACAGUGUCAGAUAUUUACAAGCGACUGUCACAACUGGAAGAGAAACAGGAUGAAAUAACAAAAAGAAUACGGGAGGAGCUAGAUGAAUUGAGAGAGAAUUUUCAAGCUCUUGAUUCAAGGCUUUCUAAAAUGGAAUCAAAAAUUUUUGAUAAAUCUGACAUGAAUCAUGUUGUAAUAAAAUCAAGAAUUGAUGAUAUAAAUAAAGUGGAGAAAAUAUUUGAAGAGGAGUUUGGUCUCAUCAGAGAAAAAAUAAUCAGUUUGAAAGCACAGAAAACUGAGUUAGUUCCGAAAGACAAUGGUACUGAAUCUCGUAGGCAACUUCUAAAAGAAAUAUUGUAUGAAGAAACAAAGCCAAAAGUUCUUGGAAACAGGCCCUCUGGUAGCAAAUAUGCUUCAGUCAGCAGUUCCAUUGGAGGAGCAAAACGAAAAUAUAGUACUCAGAGCACAGAGGAUAACUCUGUGAAACAGCCAAAACUAGACUCCAGUGAGGGCCGGAAAGUUGCCAGUGUGUCAUCAUUAAAUUUCAGAGGCAACUUAUCGUCAAAUUCUGCUUUCAUUGUCAACAAUGAAGGCUAUGUGGAAGUCUACACUGACGGAGCUUGUGAAAAGAAUGGAAAAAAAGGCGCUAAAGCAGGCAUUGGCGUGUGGUUUGGUGACAAUCACCCCUUAAAUAUAUCUGAACCUGUUGUUGGGAGACCAACUAAUAACACAGCAGAAAUUCAGGCUGCAACCUAUGCUGUAGAAACAGCAAAAAAAGCUGGAGUCAAAAAAUUACUUGUCCACACAGACUCAAAUUUCUUGAUUAGUUGUAUUACACAAUGGAUAAAAAAAUGGAAGAAAAAUGAUUGGCGUGUACAAGGAGGAGAACCUGUUAAAAACAAAGAUGACCUUAUUGUUUUGGAUAACAAACUGCAAGGCAUUGACGUGAAAUGGAACCAUGUACGAGGACAUUGUGGUCUUCAUGGAAAUGAGAUGGCAGAUCGUCUAGCUCGAGAAGGUGCAAAACGAUAUGUACAAUUUGCAUAUGAUGAAGAUUUUGAUGAUCUCUCACAACUGUAAAUGAUAAUGUACAGAAUUACAUUUUGGAAGCUGCUUAUUACAGCCAUUUUCUUUAUGACAAUGUGAGAAGAAAAAAUGGAUAACAGUUUGAAAUGGAAACAUGAAAUUAUUUGCCGUUAAUGAGAAAUCAUCAUAGAACUGUGUGCUUUGGUUUUUAGCAUGUGACUGAUGAGUUACAGGAUAUGGUGACCGAUGCGCAGUGACCAAUUUUCAUCCAAAGCACUGGGUGAGUUCAUUUGUUUGUUGAGAAAGGGAGCCCAAUACCAUUUUUGGCCGGUCAGUGACAUGCUGUGAUGACAGAAUC